rnacentral:rRNA from 1 species
AUUGAACGCUGGCGGCAGGCCUAACACAUGCAAGUCGAGCGGAUGAAGGGAGCUUGCUCCUGGAUUCAGCGGCGGACGGGUGAGUAAUGCCUAGGAAUCUGCCUGGUAGUGGGGGAUAACGUCCGGAAACGGGCGCUAAUACCGCAUACGUCCUGAGGGAGAAAGUGGGGGAUCUUCGGACCUCACGCUAUCAGAUGAGCCUAGGUCGGAUUAGCUAGUUGGUGGGGUAAAGGCCUACCAAGGCGACGAUCCGUAACUGGUCUGAGAGGAUGAUCAGUCACACUGGAACUGAGACACGGUCCAGAAUACUACGGGAGGCCGCAGUGGGGAAUAUUGGACAAUGGGCGAAAGCCUGAUCCAGCCAUGCCGGGUGUGUGAAGAAAGUCUUCUGAUUGUAAAUUACUUUAAGUUGGGAGGAAGGGCAAGAAGUUAAUACCUUGCUGUUUGGACGUUACCAACAGAAUAAGCACCGGCUAACUUCGUG